UGGUGAUGAUGGCGAAGAGGUCACACCCGUUCCCAUACCGAACACGGAAGUUAAGCUCUUCAGCGCCGAUGGUAGUUGGGGGUUUCCCCCUGUGAGAGUAGGACAUCGCCA
rnacentral:rRNA from 1 species